rnacentral:rRNA from 1 species
GGGUUGUGAGGUUAAGCGACUAAGCGUACACGGUGGAUGCCCUGGCAGUCAGAGGCGAUGAAGGGCGUGCUAAUCUGCGAUAAGCGCCGGUAAGGUGAUAUGAACCGUUAUAACCGGCGAUACCCGAAUGGGGAAACCCAGUGUGAUUCGUCACACUAUCAUUAACUGAAUCCAUAGGUUAAUGAGGCGAACCGGGGGAACUGAAACAUCUAAGUACCCCGAGGAAAAGAAAUCAACCGAGAUUCCCCCAGUAGCGGCGAGCGAACGGGGAGGAGCCCAGAGCCUGAAUCAGCAUGUGUGUUAGUGGAAGCGUCUGGAAAGGCGCGCGAUACAGGGUGACAGCCCCGUACACAAAAGCGCAUGUGCUGUGAGCUCGAUGAGUAGGGCGGGACACGUGGUAUCCUGUCUGAAUAUGGGGGGACCAUCCUCCAAGGCUAAAUACUCCUGACUGACCGAUAGUGAACCAGUACCGUGAGGGAAAGGCGAAAAGAACCCCGGCGAGGGGAGUGAAAAAGAACCUGAAACCGUGUACGUACAAGCAGUGGGAGCACCCUUUUGGGUGUGACUGCGUACCUUUUGUAUAAUGGGUCAGCGACUUAUAUUCUGUAGCAA